GACGAACGCUGGCGGCGUGCUUAACACAUGCAAGUCGAACGGAAAGGCCCAGCUUGCUGGGUGCUCGAGUGGCGAACGGGUGAGUAACACGUGGGUGAUCUGCCCCUAACUUCGGGAUAAGCUUGGGAAACUGGGUCUAAUACCGGAUAGGACAAUCGUUUAGUGUCGGUUGUGGAAAGUUUUUUCGGUUAGGGAUGAGCCCGCGGCCUAUCAGCUUGUUGGUGGGGUAAUGGCCUACCAAGGCGUCGACGGGUAGCCGGCCUGAGAGGGUGGACGGCCACAUUGGGACUGAGAUACGGCCCAGACUCCUACGGGAGGCAGCAGUGGGGAAUAGUGCACAAUGGGCGCAAGCCUGAUGCAGUGACGCCGCGUGGGGGAUGACGGCCUUCGGGUUGUAAACCUCUUUCGACAGGGACGAAGCUUUGGUGACGGUACCUGUAUAAGAAGCACCGGCUAACUACGUGCCAGCAGCCGCCGUAA
rnacentral:rRNA from 1 species